rnacentral:rRNA from 1 species
CUAACUAUGCAGUCGAGCGCCCCGCAGGGGAGCGGCAGACGGGUGAGUAACGCGUGGGAAUCUACCUUUUGCUACGGAAUAAGGCAGGGAAACUUGUGCUAAUACCGUAUGUGUCCUUCGGGAGAAAGAUUUAUCGGCAAGAGAUGAGCCCGCGUUGGAUUAGCUAGUUGGAGGGGUCAAGGCCUACCAAGGCGACGAUCCAUAGCUGGUCUGAGAGGAUGAUCAGCCACAUUGGGACUGAGACACGGCCCAAACUCCUACGGGAGGCAGCAGUGGGGAAUAUUGGACAAUGGGCGCAAGCCUGAUCCAGCCAUGCCGCGUGAGUGAUGAAGGCCCUAGGGUUGUAAAGCUCUUUCACCGGAGAAGAUAAUGACGGUAUCCGGAGAAGAAGCCCCGGCUAACUUCGUGCCAGCAGCCGCGGUAAUACGAAGGGGGCUAGCGUUGUUCGGAAUUACUGGGCGUAAAGCGCACGUAGGCGGAUCGAUCAGUCAGGGGUGAAAUCCCAGGGCUCAACCCUGGAACUGCCUUUGAUACUGUCGAUCUGGAGUAUGGAAGAGGUGAGUGGAAUUCCGAGUGUAGAGGUGAAAUUCGUAGAUAUUCGGAGGAACACCAGUGGCGAAGGCGGCUCACUGGUCCAUUACUGACGCUGAGGUGCGAAAGCGUGCGGGAGCAAACAGGAUUAGAUACUCUGGUAGUCCACGCCGUAAACGAUGAAUGUUAGACGUCGGGGCAGUAUACUGGUCCGUGGCGCACCUACACAUUAAACAUUCU